GACGAACGCUGGCGGCGUGCUUAACACAUGCAAGUCGAACGGAAAGUCCCUGCUUUUGUGUGGUGCUCGAGUGGCGAACGGGUGAGUAACACGUGAGUAACCUUCCCUUGACUUUGGGAUAACUUCAGGAAACUGGGGCUAAUACCGGAUAGGAGCUCCUGCUGCAUGGUGGUGGUUGGAAAGUUUCGGCGGUUGGGGAUGGACUCGCGGCUUAUCAGCUUGUUGGUGGGGUAGUGGCUUACCAAGUCUUUGACGGGUAGCCGGCCUGAGAGGGUGACCGGCCACAUUGGGACUGAGAUACGGACCAGACUCCUACGGGAGGCAGCAGUGGGGAAUAUUGCACAAUGGGCGGAAGCCUGAUGCAGCAACGCAGCGUGCGGGAUGACGGCAUUCGGGUUGUAAACCGCUUUCGCCUGUGACGAAGAGUGAGUGACGGUAAUGGGUAAAGAAGCACCGGCUAACUACGUG
rnacentral:rRNA from 1 species